rnacentral:rRNA from 1 species
CUACGGGUCGCACCAGUGAGGAAUUUUGCGCAAUGGACGAAAGUCUGACGCAGCAACGCCGCGUGAAGGAUGAAGGUUUUAGGAUUGUAAACUUCUGUUGAUCGAGAAGAAAGCCUUUUUGUUAAUAGCAAAAAGUUAUGACGUUAUCGGUCUAGAAAGCCCCGGCUAACUUCGUGCCAGCAGCCGCGGUAAUACGAGGGGGGCGAGCGUUAUUCGGAAUGAUUGGGCGUAAAGGGCGUGUAGGCGGCGCUAUAAGUUUAUCGUUUAAUUUCCCGGCCUAACUGGGAGCCUGCGAUAAAUACUGUAGUGCUAGAGCUUGACAGAGAGAAGUGGAAUUCUCGGAGUAGCGGUGAAAUGCGUAGAUCUCGAGAGGAACGCCAAUGGCGAAGGCAGCUUCUUGGGUCAUAGCUGACGCUAAAACGCGAAGGCGUGGGGAGCAAACAGGAUUAGAUACCCUCGUAGUC